rnacentral:lncRNA from 1 species
GCUGUUCCGGGUAUGCAAAAAAUUUUCCUUUUCAUACGUAUCGACGGCCAGAGGGGGGUUAUUAUUGAGAAUAUGGAUAAAGGUCUUGCCAGUUUCUGCCGGUACUCGUAUUUAAAAAGAAACUAUGGAAACCCGAAGGAGGAAUAUUAAUUAAGUUCAAAUUUGGAAUGUUUUUGCCAGGAGUGGUUGAAUGAAUUCAAUGAAGGAACCCGUUGGGUUGUAAUGCAGUGUUUUGUUGGCGAUUUAAUAGAACGCUGAACUUUUCACAAAUGAAGACGUCGUUUCAAUAAUCUUAUUAUGAGGUUAUAUGCCCGUAAUAUCAGCCUUGGAAUGUUUGGGGGAGGGUUCUUAAAGGACCCGUCCAUAUUUGAUUGAAAAUCGACAGGAUUGAAUUGUCUCGGCGAUUAUCAUCAACCCUUAGGAGAUCAUUUUUCCAACAAAAAAUAAAACUAUGGCUCUCGGUUAGUCAGGCCACUCGGAGGAUGUGGAUUUCAAUUCUCAGCCUUGUGCUGAAUCGGUCUUGGAACAGCGAUAUCCACUUUGCAACGUAUGCCCAACCAGACCAGCACUUGUCCUCCUUAUCGUCGUUCAUUUUCACGAAUACUAAUAAGAAGAAGCGAACGCCGUCCUUGAAGUCACGCUCUGGUUUCGAGAAAGGUAACUGUCAGUUAGCCCCACCGCCUCCCCCGGAGGUUGGCACGGAUCCGGGCUUCCCUCAGCCAAGAGCGGGAUGCCAAGCCCUCGGCGGCCCAGACAGAUGUGUCUCUGGAGCUUUUAGUGGUGAUGAAAGAGGCCUCCCGUCCUGAACUCUCCGUUCCAAGCUGCCGGCUACCAUCACCUCAGAGUUCUUGCCCAGACAGAAGGGUCCUCCCCGACUUUCCAGGGAGCCCCGAGACUCUCCCGGUUGGCGUGGUUCCGGGAGCCGGCGUCCAUGGGGGCUCUGGGCCGGAGGAGUGGCAUGAAGGCAAUCCCCCUGCCUCGGCCCCGGUGCCCGGCGAAGACAGAAUCGCUCCUCAAUAAUAAUAAUAAUGUUGGUACUGGUCGAGCGCUUACUAUGCGCCGAACACCGUUCUAAGCGCCGGGGUAGAUACGGGGUCAUCCGCUUGUCCCACGUGAGGCUCCCGGUCUUCAUCCCCCUUUUCCGGAUGAGGUGACUGAGGCACAGAGAGGUGACUUACCCACAGUCACACACAGCUGACGAGUGGCAGAGCCGGGAUUCGAACCAGUGACCUCUGACUCCCAAGGCCGGGCUCUUUCCACUGAGCCACGCCGCUUCAAGUAACCUUUAGGUGUAAAUAGGGGUGGAUGAGAAAGAGAACUGCAGCGGAGAAAAGAGGGCCCCUCUUACCCCAGUUUAAACAACCAUCUUUAUCCCGAUGUCCGAGUAAUAGCAAGGGGAAUUGGAUGGGUGAGGCUUGGCCCGGAGAGGUGAAAUGACUUGCCCAAGGUCACACAGGCAGCAGAGCACGGGCCUGGAGGUCAAAAGCACGCGAAGGACUCACGGUCUUAAUCCCCAUUCUACAGAUGAGGUAAUAAUAAUGAUAAUGUUGGUAUUUGUUAAGCGCUUACUAUGUGCAGAGCCCCGUUCUAAGCGCUGGGGGAGAUCCGGGGUCAUCGGGUCGUCCCACGUGGGGCUCACGGUUAAUCCCCAUUUUACAGAUGAGGGAACUGAGGCACAGAGAAGUGAAGUGACUCGCCCACAGUCACACAGCUGACCAAUGGCAGAGCCGGGAGUCGAACCCAUGACCUCUGACUCCCAAGCCCAGGCUUACGAUCACUAGUACUAUUAGGCGAGAAUGGCUGGGAACGCCGGGGGCCGGGUGUGAAGAAAAGCCCCUCGUAACAGUAAUUAAUAAUAAUUAUGGUAUCUGUCAAUACCCUCAUCUCACGCUCCCCACCUCCAAAACAUUAUUAAAGUCACAUCUCCUCCAAGACGCCUUCCCCGAUUAAACCCUCUUUUCCUCCGUUCCUUUUCCCUUCUGCGUCACCUAAGGACUUGGAUCUCUGCCCUCUGGGCAUUUGAUAUUUGCCCCACCCUGAACCCCACAGCAUUUAUACGCAUGUCUUUAAAUUCUAGAUUAAAGAUAGAUUAAAUUACUUAUUUGCAUUAGUGCCCGUCUUCCCCUCUGGACUGUAAGCUCGCUGUGGACAGGGAAUGUGCCUGCCAACUCUGUCAAAUUCUCCCAAGCGCUUAGUACGGUGCUCUGCACGUAGCAUGCGC